rnacentral:rRNA from 1 species
GGCGGACGGGUGAGUAACGCGUGGGAAUCUGCCUACUAGCGGGGGAUAGCCCGGAGAAAUCCGGAUUAAUACCGCAUACGCCCUACGGGGGAAAGCUGGGGAUCUUCGGACCUGGCACUAGUAGAUGAGCCCGCGUUGGAUUAGCUUGUUGGUGGGGUAAAGGCCUACCAAGGCAACGAUCCAUAGCUGUUCUGAGAGGAAGAUCAGCCACACUGGGGCUGAGACACGGCCCAG